rnacentral:pre_miRNA from 1 species
AAGUUACUCCCUCCGUUCGGAAUUACUUGUCUCGGAAAUGGAUGUAUCUAGAACUAAAAUGCGUCUAGAUACAUCCAUUUCUGCGACAAGUAAUUCCGAACGGAGGGAGUACCAU